AGGACGAACGCUGGCGGCGUGCUUAACACAUGCAAGUCGAGCGGAAAGGCCCUUCGGGGUACUCGAGCGGCGAACGGGUGAGUAACACGUGAGCAACCUGCCCUUGGCUCUGGGAUAGCCUCCGGAAACGGGGAUUAAUACCGGACAUUCACUUUUUCCUGCAUGGGGGAGGGUGGAAAGUUUUUCGGCCAGGGAGGGGCUCGCGGCCUAUCAGCUUGUUGGCGGGGUAAUGGCCCACCAAGGCGACGACGGGUAGCCGGCCUGAGAGGGCGAUCGGCCACACUGGGACUGAGACACGGCCCAGACUCCUACGGGAGGCAGCAGUGGGGAAUAUUGCACAAUGGGCGGAAGCCUGAUGCAGCGACGCCGCGUGGGGGAUGGAAGGCCUUCGGGUUGCAAACCCCUUUCACCAGGAGCGAAUCAAGACGGUACCUGGGGAAGAAGCGCCGGCUAACUACGUGCCAGCAGCCGC
rnacentral:rRNA from 1 species